UUGAACGCUGGCGGCAGGCCUAACACAUGCAAGUCGAACGGUAACAGGAAGAAGCUUGCUUCUUUGCUGACGAGUGGCGGACGGGGGAGUAAUGUCUGGGAAACUGCCUGAUGGAGGGGGAUAACUACUGGAAACGGUAGCUAAUACCGCAUAACGUCGCAAGACCAAAGAGGGGGACCUUCGGGCCUCUUGCCAUCGGAUGUGCCCAGAUGGGAUUAGCUAGUAGGUGGGGUAACGGCUCACCUAGGCGACGAUCCCUAGCUGGUCUGAGAGGAUGACCAGCCACACUGGAACUGAGACACGGUCCAGACUCCUACGGGAGGCAGCAGUGGGGAAUAUUGCACAAUGGGCGCAAGCCUGAUGCAGCCAUGCCGCGUGUAUGAAGAAGGCCUUCGGGUUGUAAAGUACUUUCAGCGGGGAGGAAGGGAGUAAAGUUAAUACCUUUGCUCAUUGACGUUACCCGCAGAAGAAGCACCGGCUAACUCCGUG
rnacentral:rRNA from 1 species